GGUAGCAUUUUCCUUUGCCCCAGAGAUUUGUGGAACUUUGAACUUGAGAGACCUGAUCUAGGGUAUCUGGCAGAAGAAAUUUCUAAGCAGCAAAGCAUUCAAGAGGAAGCAAAGCAUAAAAGUUAGAAAAAUUUGCAGCCUGACAAUGUGAUAGAAAAGAAAACCCCAUUUUCCGGGGAGAAAUUCAAGCAGUCUGAAUAAAUCUGCGUAGGUAACAAUGAGCUGAAGAUUAAUCAUCAAGACAAUGGGGAAAAUAUCUCCAGGACAUGUCAGAGACCUUUACUGCAGCCCCUCCUGUCACAGACCCAGAGGCCUAGACGGGAAAAAUGAUUUUUUCCCUCCUGCUGUGUGCAGCCUUAAGACUUGGCUAAAAGAGGCCAACAUACAGCUCAGGCCAUUGCUUGAGAGGGUGCAAGUCCCAGGCCUUGGUAGUUCCCAUGUGAUGUUGGGCCUGCGAGUGCACAGAUGUCAAGAAUUGAGGUUUGGGGACCUCUGCCUAGAUUUCAGAGGAUGUAUGAAAACACCUGGAUGUCCAGGCAGAAGUUUGCUGCAGGGGCAGAGCCCUCAUGGAGAACCUCUGCUAGGGCAGUGCAGAACAGAAAUGUAGUGCUGGGGUGUCCACACAGAGUCCCCACCAGGGCAAUGUCUAGUGGAGCUGUGAGAAGAGGACCACCAGCCUCCAGACCCCAGAAUGGUAGCUCCACUGACAACUUGCACCAUGCACAUGGAAAAGCUGCAGACACUCAACACCAGCUGUGAAGGCAGCCGGGAGGGAAGCUAUAUCCUGCAAAGCCACAGAGGUGGAGCUGCCCAAGGCCAUGGGAGCCCAUCUCUUGCAUCAGUGUGACCAGGAUUUGAGGCUCACAGGCAAAGGGACUUGCCUUGUCUCAGAUGACACUUUAGACUUGGACUUUUGUAUUAAUGCUGGAAUGAGUUAAGACUUUGGGAGACUGUUGAGAAGACAUGACUGUGUUUUGAAAUGUGAGGACAUGAGAUUUGGGAGGGGCCAAGGGUGAAAUUAUAUGAUUUGGCUGGGUGCUACCCAAAUCUCAUCUUGAAUUGUAGUUCCCAUAAUCCCCAUGUGUCAUAGAAGGGACCUGG
rnacentral:lncRNA from 1 species